UGCAACCUGAGCUCAGUCGUGAUUACCCGCUGAACUUAAGCAUAUCAUUAGCG
rnacentral:rRNA from 1 species